GAAAGCCUGCCUCCUCUCUGUUCUCCUUGCCGUCCCCUCCCACUGUUCUCCACUGUUGCCUUCCUCCCCAUCGUCAUCGACGUUGGGCUUUCCCUCCAAUCUCCCUCAGGUGCUUGCCUUCCCGCAGAUCUCCAAAAAAGAGACAUUGACCUCCUCUCUGCUCUCCUCAUUGCCACCUCCAAUCGGUCUCCACCAUCGCCUUCCUCCCCAUUGUCACUGGUGUUGGCCUUCCCCUUCGAUCUCCCUCAAGUGCUUGCCUUCCUUUUCAUAGAUCUUCAAAAAAGAGAGAAAUAAAAAGAAAAAAAAUGGGAGAAACUCUAGCUACCAUCUUCCCUAUUCGGCCGAUCCAAACCUGCCACC
rnacentral:lncRNA from 1 species